GCAGUGGGGAAUAUUGGACAAUGGGGGCAACCCUGAUCCAGCAAUACCGCGUGUGUGAAGAAGGCCUGAGGGUUGUAAAGCACUUUCAAUUGUGAAGAAAAGUUAACGGUUAAUAACCGUUAGCCUUGACGUUAACUUUAGAAGAAGCACCGGCUAACUCCGUGCCAGCAGCCGCGGUAAUACGGAGGGUGCAAGCGUUAAUCGGAAUUACUGGGCGUAAAGCGUGCGUAGGCGGUUUAUUAAGUCAGAUGUGAAAGCCCCGGGCUUAACCUGGGAACUGCAUUUGAAACUGGUAAACUAGAGUAUGGUAGAGGAAAGUGGAAUUUCUGGUGUAGCGGUGAAAUGCGUAGAUAUCAGAAGGAACAUCAAUGGCGAAGGCAGCUUUCUGGACCAAUACUGACGCUGAGGUACGAAAGCGUGGGUAGCAAACAGGAUUAGAUACCCUGGUAGUCCACGCCGUAAACGAUGAUAACUAGCCGUUGGGGGGAUUUACCCUUUAGUGGCGAAGCUAACGCGUUAAGUUAUCCGCCUGGGGAGUACGGCCGCAAGGUUAAAACUCAAAGGAAUUGACGG
rnacentral:rRNA from 1 species